UACGUAGGGGGCUAGCGUUGUCCGGAAUCAUUGGGCGUAAAGCGCGCGUAGGCGGCCCGGUAAGUCCGCUGUGAAAGUCCAGGGCUCAACCCUGGAAUGCCGGUGGAUACUGCCGGGCUAGAGUCCGGAAGAGGCGAGUGGAAUUCCUGGUGUAGCAGUGAAAUGCGUAGAUAUCAGGAGGAAUACCGAUGGCGAAGGCAGGUCUCUGGGCUGACACUGACGCUCAUGCACGAAAGCGUGGGGAGCAAACAGG
rnacentral:rRNA from 1 species